GGACAUCUGGAUCGUAAAGUUUGUAGGACUGGAUAUCUACGAAUGGCCCAACAUUGAGACAAGGAUUGGCUCCAAUACCCUCUUAAGAAAUGAGCAAGGCCUAAUUCACUCGCAAAAGGUAGCUCAAGGGAGGAGGAGUGCCCAAGACUUUAUAAGGGGUAAAUUACCCUAUUCCAAACCGAUGUGGGAUAUUAACAGAUACAAUAACAAGGAAAAGAGAGUUCUUUACUGGCCCAUGUGAAAACUGCUAAAGAUGGCCCUAGGUGAAUCUCCAUGUGAUUUCAUAAGCAUCAACGAACUCAACUCAACUUAGCCUUUAU
rnacentral:misc_RNA from 1 species